AGCUUUGCUCCGUGGCAGUAUAGUAGCCAAUGAGGUUUAUCCAAGGUGCAAUUGUUGCUCAUUGAAAACUUUUCCCAACACCCCGCCAUGGUGACUUGACUAGAGUUGAUGUUGGCAAAUUUUGACAGUCUCUAUGGAAA
rnacentral:snRNA from 1 species